rnacentral:rRNA from 1 species
AUGAACGCUGGCGGCGUGCUUAACACAUGCAAGUCGAACGAAGCACUCUAUUUGAUUUUCUUCGGAGAUGAAGAUUUUGUGACUGAGUGGCGGACGGGUGAGUAACGCGUGGGUAACCUGCCUCAUACAGGGGGAUAACAGUUGGAAACGACUGCUAAUACCGCAUAAGCGCACGGUACCGCAUGGUAUCGUGUGAAAAACUCCGGUGGUAUGAGAUGGACCCGCGUCUGAUUAGCUAGUUGGUGGGGUAACAGCCUACCAAGGCGACGAUCAGUAGCCGACCUGAGAGGGUGACCGGCCACAUUGGGACUGAGACACGGCCCAAACUCCUACGGGAGGCAGCAGUGGGGAAUAUUGCACAAUGGGGGAAACCCUGAUGCAGCGACGCCGCGUGAGCGAAGAAGUAUUUCGGUAUGUAAAGCUCUAUCAGCAGGGAAGAAAAAAUGACGGUACCUGACUAAGAAGCACCGGCUAAAUACGUGCCAGCAGCCGCGGUAAUACGUAUGGUGCAAGCGUUAUCCGGAUUUACUGGGUGUAAAGGGAGCGCAGGCGGUGCGGCAAGUCUGAUGUGAAAGCCCGGGGCUCAACCCCGGUACUGCAUUGGAAACUGUCGUACUAGAGUGUCGGAGGGGUAAGUGGAAUUCCUAGUGUAGCGGUGAAAUGCGUAGAUAUUAGGAGGAACACCAGUGGCGAAGGCGGCUUACUGGACGGUAACUGACGUUGAGGCUCGAAAGCGUGGGGAGCAAACAGGAUUAGAUACCCUGGUAGUCCACACUGUAAACGAUGAAUGCUAGGUGUAGGGGGUAUCGACCCCUUCUGUGCCGCAGUCAACACAAUAAGCAUUCCGCCUGGGGAGUACGGCCGCAAGGUUGAAACUCAAAGGAAUUGACGGGGGCCCGCACAAGCAGUGGAGUAUGUGGUUUAAUUCGAAGCAACGCGAAGAACCUUACCAAGUCUUGACAUCCCGAUGACCAAGUAUGUAAUGUACUCUCUCUUCGGAGCAUCGGUGACAGGUGGUGCAUGGUUGUCGUCAGCUCGUGUCGUGAGAUGUUGGGUUAAGUCCCGCAACGAGCGCAACCCUUGUCUUUAGUUACUAACAUUAAGUUGAGGACUCUAGAGAGACUGCCGGUGACAAACCGGAGGAAGGUGGGGAUGACGUCAAAUCAUCAUGCCCCUUAUGACCUGGGCUACACACGUGCUACAAUGGCGUAAACAAAGGGAAGCGGAGCCGCGAGGCCGAGCAAAUCUCAAAAAUAACGUCUCAGUUCGGACUGUAGUCUGCAACCCGACUACACGAAGCUGGAAUCGCUAGUAAUCGCGAAUCAGAAUGUCGCGGUGAAUACGUUCCCGGGUCUUGUACACACCGCCCGUCACACCAUGGGAGUCGGAAAUGCCCGAAGCCAGUGACCCAACCUUUUGGAGGGAGCUGUCGAAGGUGGAGCCGGUAACUGGGGUG